rnacentral:rRNA from 1 species
ACUUUUGCUGAAAAGGUGAUGGGCGUAUUAAUCUUCCAACCAUGACCCCGUUCUGGCGAGUGAGAUGGAUGAAUUCGCCUGGGAGCACGGGCUGCGGCUGGUCAGACGCAAGCAGAUGGGCGGAAUGAAUGGUGCGAUUGCCCGUUAUCACCGGCUUCGUUCGUCCACGGCGAGUCAGAUGGUCUCUCCCGGCGUAAAUCGGAGUCAGGAUGAAGAAGUGGUCUGUGAAUCACUGGUGAUGUCGGCGCUUCGGCGCAAUGUGGGGGGGUAACCCCCGACAUGUUGACGCGCAGACAUUUUCUCACCACCACAGGAGCUUUGCUGAUGACAACAUUACUGCCAGGGGAAACCCUGGCAGCCUCGCUGGCUGAAAACGUCAGUCAAACAUGGCAAAAAAUAAUCGCUCGUCGCACUGUCCGGGAGGUGAUAACGCCGGGCUGGGUUUUGCAGUCGCUCGGGCAGAGGCCUGGCUCAACAGAAUUACGAAGAGCCAUUUUUGAACUGGUCAGAAGGAUCCCCUAUCAGCUCGGCUCGUGGAAUGGCGAAAGCAUGAGCCUGUUUCAGCAGGGCUUUGGCGACUGCCGUCACAAAGCCGCCGCCGCUGAGCGACUGCUGACCGCUGGUGGCGUCACGGCAAAGCGAAUACUGGUGCGUUUUGACUGGGCUGAUUUACCUGUACCCGCGGAGAUUCUGGAAAUUUUGCCACAAACUCAGGGAUUUCAUGACCACCGUGUCUUUUGAAUUA